CGGCGCCACGAGUGGCAAUCAUUUUUAUUGGGUCUAAAGCGUCCGUAGCCGGUCUGACUAAUCUCUUGUGAAAUCGAUAAACUUAACUUAUCGGCGUGCAAGAGACACUAUCAGACUAGGGACCGGGAGGAGCCAGAGGUAUUCCAGGGUGAGCGGUAAAAUGCUGUAAUCCUUGGAGGACCACCUGUGGCGAAGGCGUCUGGCCAGAACGGAUCCGACGGUGAGGGACGAAAGCUAGGGGAGCAAAACGGAUUAGAUACCCGAGUAGUCC
rnacentral:rRNA from 1 species